AGCGAGGAAGAACGCCUAGCGGUUAAUACCCGCUAGGAAAGACAUCACUCGCAGAAGAAGCACCGGCUAACUCCGUGCCAGCAGCCGCGGUAAUACGGAGGGUGCAAGCGUUAAUCGGAAUUACUGGGCGUAAAGCGCGCGUAGGUGGCUUGAUAAGCCGGUUGUGAAAGCCCCGGGCUCAACCUGGGAACGGCAUCCGGAACUGUCAAGCUAGAGUGCAGGAGAGGAAGGUAGAAUUCCCGGUGUAGCGGUGAAAUGCGUAGAGAUCGGGAGGAAUACCAGUGGCGAAGGCGGCCUUCUGGACUGACACUGACACUGAGGUGCGAAAGCGUGGGUAGCAAACAGGAUUAGAUACCCUGGUAGUCCACGCCGUAAACGAUGUCGACCAGCCGUUGGGUGCCUAGCGCACUUUGUGGCGAAGUUAACGCGAUAAGUCGACCGCCUGGGGAGUACGGCCGCAAGGUUAAAACUCAAAUGAAUUGACGGGGGCCCGCACAAGCGGUGGAGCAUGUGGUUUAAUUCGAUGCAACGCGAAGAACCUUACCUACUCUUGACAUCCUGCGAAUUUGGUAGAGAUACCUUAGUGCCUUCGGGAACGCAGAGACAGGUGCUGCAUGGCUGUCGUCAGCUCGUGUUGUGAAAUGUUGGGUUAAGUCCCGUAACGAGCGCAACCCUUGUCCUUAUUUGCCAGCGCGUAAUGGCGGGAACUCUAAGGAGACUGCCGGUGACAAACCGGAGGA
rnacentral:rRNA from 1 species